GAUGAACGCUAGCGGCAGGCCUAAUACAUGCAAGUCGAGGGGUAGAAGAGGCUUGCUUCUUUGAGACCGGCGCACGGGUGCGUAACGCGUAUGCAACCUACCUUCAUCUGGGGGAUAGCCCGGAGAAAUCCGGAUUAAUACCGCAUAAAAUCACAGGAUGGCAUUAUCCAAUGAUCAAACAUUUAUGGGAUGGAGAUGGGCAUGCGUGUCAUCAGCUAGUUGGCGGGGUAACGGCCCACCAAGGCGACGAUGACUAGGGGAUCUGAGAGGAUGGCCCCCCACACUGGUACUGAGACACGGACCAGACUCCUACGGGAGGCAGCAGUAAGGAAUAUUGGUCAAUGGAGGCAACUCUGAACCAGCCAUGCCGCGUGCAGGAAGACUGCCCUAUGGGUUGUAAACUGCUUUUAUUCGGGAAUAAACCUUAUUACGUGUAAUAAGCUGAAUGUACCGAAGGAAUAAGGAUCGGCUAACUCCGUGCCAGCAGCCGCCGUAA
rnacentral:rRNA from 1 species